rnacentral:rRNA from 1 species
UACGUAGGGGCCGAGCGUUGUCCGGAGUUAUUGGGCGUAAAGCGCGUGUAGGCGGCUUUGCAAGUCGGAUGUGAAAUCCCACGGCUCAACCGUGGAAGUGCAUCCGAAACUGCAUCGCUCGAGUCUCGGAGAGGAAGGUGGAAUGCUUGGUGUAGAGGUGAAAUUCGUAGAUAUCAAGCAGAACACCUGCGGCGAAGGCGGCCUUCUGGACGAUGACUGACGCUGAGACGCGAAAGCGUGGGGAGCAAACAGG